UGCAGGGUUUGCUUAAGCUGUAACAUACUGCCCUGAGGAGGAGCAAAGACACCUCGAUACCGCUGCGUCCACUAGAACAACCUGGAGAAUAGCCUGGAAUUCCUCAUAGCAUGGAGACUGGGUUCCAGGAAGACAAUCCCAGUGUACAAAUGCUUAUCAACCCUCGGCUCGCAUCAUGGCUGCUGACGCGGGGCCAAAGCCAGUCUCAUGUCCGAGCUCAAAAUUAAUAUGGGAGAGAACUCCACAGGCCCCAGUACCGGGAGUGGACUCCUUGUGAACCACCGGUGUAAAGUCUAACACAGAAAAGACUUGAGAAAGUUCUUUGCACCAAACAGGCUGGUAGCUCAUGAUCACGUCUUGUGUCCUGAGGUGUGCAUCUGCUUCACAGAAUCUAUGAAUCCACUCAAGUUAUAUGCAAAGGCUGCGUGAAUAGACAUUUUUUUCGGAUGCAGCUUACAAAGAGAAGUCUGUGGUUCUUCCUUCCAUAUCCCAUCCCUCCGGCUGUAUGCAUAAGGAGGCAAUACCAGGCUGGCUGGGUUGGAGACAAUCAAUGGUGACCUUGAAGACUGCUGAGCUGCUGAGAACAUGAGUCCCUGAAUUAUUGUGUGGAUGAAAGUUGCCCCGCCAACACAUUCCCCUGUCCGGAUCAGCGUCCUCCUGUUCUAUGUCCUUUGGAUUUGCACAAGCACAGAGUGUAUGAUGUUUGCGGCAACAAGGCAGGGACAAUUUAAUGGCAUUUCCACCAGAUUGUGUGAAGACACUCCAACUGCUCUUGGCUCCUUCCCAGUUGCAUUGGCCUCCUUGCCCUCCCACAGGUGGGCUUUCAUACCCAGGGCAGAGCUGGAACACGGCCAUGACUGCUGCAGAAGAGGUCUUUCCUGGACAGACUGGUCAGACGGCACUGGAGCAUUUGUAAUGGGAGGGUUGUUUGUCUUUCCUUCAUCUUUAAGAAGGUCAGAAAAGACCCAGCUCGCUAUGUCCGGGUAAAGAGAAAUGCAAAGAUGAAACUUACCUUACAUCUCUAUACUCCUCCCUUCCCAAUGUUCACCUCGGUAUAUAAAUGGAGUCCCUAACUUUCACUCCUUAAUCCCAACACCAGGUGAUGUUCUUCCGUCUCUAGGGAACCUUUCCUUUCCUUACUUUUCUCAGAUUUACUUCCACAAAAAUCAUCCUCUCAUUCUAUAAAUGGUGCCUUUUUCUUCAUUGUUAUUAUUGCCCUUAUUCUUCAUCUCUAUCUUUGAGAAUAUUCUUUUUUCUCUCUAUAAAAAUAACAACAAAUAUCCUGAUUUGAUUCUGAUUUUUCUUUUAAUUACCAUCCUUUCUUUUUCCAUUUGAUGCAAAACUCUUGGGACAUAUGGUUAUCUUAAUUUUUCUCCCAUUACCUUCCAAGUUCUACAAUUUAAGCUAUUUCAUUGAGUUAAAUAUAUCAUUGAGUUAAAAACCAUCAAUUGAAUUACAUUUACGACUUUAUAAAUUGCCUGAAUGAUACAAAUUGAUUUCAUUGUUUUUAAAGUGAUACUUCAUAUAUUCAUAGAAGCAUUUCCAAUCAACUGUAUUAUAAAUUAUCCCUGGAGAAUCAGUGUUUCUCUGCAAUGAGUAGGGGCCAUCUUCCAAUAUUGCAAACAUUUGGCCCAUUUACAAAUGAGUCUGCUUUUUAUUUCAGGGUUUAAUAAAUUGAUUUUUAUAGUGAAUUUAUUCAAUUAUAAUAGGAAGAUAUCCUAUGCAUUAAUAAUUUUAAAAUUUAAAUAUACAAGUACCCAGUUAGUUUUGUUCUUAAUUACUGUAUAUAGACAGACACACACUUUUUUUUGCCUACUGCAAUCCAUAUAAAAUUUAAUAGUAGUUUGACUAAUGUGAUAAAAAUUAUUUUGUUUAUAAUUACUUCAAUUUGUUGGAAGAACUUUAAACACUUGGUUCCUACAAGUGGAAAUUAACAUUUUAAAGACACAGUGUUGUCAGAGAGUUCAGCAAAGCAUUUGAGUACUUUUUAGCCUCAAGAAGUGGGAAAAUUGUACUUAUUUAAAUGUCACUGUUUUGCAAAAACUUUGAGUCUUUUUCUUCUUUGUCUCUUUAUCCCUCAUUUGCUAGUGCUUACACAAUAUAUGCAGUAAAUGUAUUUUUUGGAAGUCUAACUAUUUUUAACAGAUGCAAUCCUUAAUUUUAUUGCUUCAUAUUUAUAUUAGAGAUUAAUAUGUUUGCCUGAAUGCCAGGCAGAUUAACUUCUCUUUGUUUAGCUUUAUAAUUUUUGCUUUAAGCACUGGAGAAGUUUGUUAUUGACAAAGCUGAACUAAUGUCAAUGAUCUUAUUUUUCAGAAUUUUUUGUGACAUUUAAAUUUUGGGAAAACAUAUAUGCAUAUAAAUUAGAUGAUAAAGGUAGAAACCGAGGCUUUAAUUACAAGAGAUACUCAGUGUACUUUUUAUUCUUAAGCCUACUAGAUGAGAAAAUUCAAGCCAUUAUUCAAUGUUUUUUUAAAUAAUUUAUUGCUGUUUUUAGAACUCUUUACCGUGUUUAUUCUAAUUCUUUAAUUCCUUCAAUAAGAAAAAUCAACCUAAUUAAAUAAUUGCAGGUUAAAAUUAAAUUUCAUUUCAAUAUUCUUGACCAGGGAACCCUAAGAGUUUUUAAGUGUUUAAGUAACUCAGUUGUGUAAGCGUUAACAGUCAGAAAUAUAUCCAGGUCAUCUAAGUCAUACAAUUGUCAGAUGGUUGCUAGGCAACAGAUAUCAGGUUUGGCUGAUGCUUGUUUCUAGGCAAAGCUUACCAUGUGAAAAGAAGAACAAAUUACAUGACACCUGCAUUUUGUUGUUAUGCUUUUUGAAAAUAAAGUUGUAUUUGGAGGGGAAAAAAGCCCUGACAUUUAUUAUGCACAUCAUCUUUCUUCUAAAUGUCAGAACUAUAUCAUUUGAUAGUUAAGUGAUAAGGUACAAUGAAUUGAAAUGACGGAUGACAUUUUAUUUCUUUUAUGGUUUUAGAUAAGGGCCUUUUGCCUAAUGCUGUUUUUAUAUCUUGUCAUCAAGUUAAUUAACUUUCUGAAUUCAUUAUGAUAGAAAAGAAGCUGCAAGUCAAAAUUAAUUGAAAUAUAAUUAAUUUAAAAUAUACAUAUUUCAAUGCUACUGAGAACAAGAAGUGAAAAUGACUUAUGUUACAUGAUUCUAGUACAACGUCAAAAUAUUUCACUGGUGAUGGAAGUGAUGUUGAGAGAGAGAUCACGUUUUAGAAAUCUAAGGUAAUAUUCCCAUUUUUGGAUAGUUAAAGACCUAGUCAAAAUUAUAGCUUGGCCCACAAAGUCUGAUGUUGGAACUCUGCCAAGUGUGAAGACGUAUUCUUCCAUCACGGUAAGGAUAUGUGGAUGAGAAGAACCACAACACAAUGAAGACAACAGUCAAGUAAGAAAGUUCUUGUAUCAGCACAAAGGAAAUUUUGCAGGAGUUGGGGAAUGAGGAGAAGUUGGAGGCAUGGAGAGGGGAGGUGUGGGGAGAGAAGCAGCUGUCAUUGUACAAGAUGACUUAGUGAGACAUUGAGAAAGACCAGAUGUUAGCAACAAAAAAUAUGUUUACAUUCCUAGAGGAUAAAAAGAGAGUUGGGGAGGCUGUUGCUUUUCAAACCACAGCUCGUGUAUAGUUUAAGAGAAAAAGGAGGUACUUUCCCACGAUACUUUCUCUUUAUGCGUCAGAUAGUUUCACUUGUUGCAGAAAAAAAGGAAGUGAGGAAGAGAUGAAGUGAGGAGGAGAAAGAGAAAGGAAGGUAGAGAGAAUCUUUUUAUUGCUUGUUACAUAUAUGCACACAUACACAUUUAUAAAUAGCUAGGCAGCCGUCACUCACUGUGUGCUAGGCUCUGUGCUAGGAGCUUUUUUCCUAAUCUGAAUCUUUCCUUUGAUCCUAAAAAAAUGGGAUCAUAAUCUCUGGUACAUACUAGGAAAUUAUGGUUCAGAGGAGUUAAAUACCUUGCCUAAGUUUACAUGGCUAAGUAAGGGGCGGAAACUUACACUGUCUCACUCCAAAGGCCAUGCUCUUUGCGCUAUACCAUGAUAUCUCUGAUUACUCGUUUAGUUAAUUUUUAUUCCUUAUGUAGAGAUGACCAAAAAAUGGGUAUUCAUUUGGAAAAAGUAACAUAAUGAUUUGGACAUUGGACAAAUAUCUAUCAUAUCCAUCUUGAUCCUUUAAAAUUUAAACUUCCUUAAGAUAUCACUAUCUGUAUUAUAUUUUGAAAAUAUUUUUAUUUAUUUCUCAUCUUCAUUAAAAUGUACCAUAAUUAUUAUUUCACUGUU